AGGGUUUGAUCCUGGCUCAGAAUGAACGUUGGCGGCGUGGAUUAGGCAUGCAAGUCGUGCGAGAAACCUCCUUCGGGAGGCGGACAGCGGCGAAAGGGAGAGUAAUGCGUGGAUACCUACCCAUAGGCCCGGGAUAGCUGCGGGAAACUGCAGGUAAUACCGGAUAAUGUUUCCGAACCAAAGGUGUGAUUCCGCCUAAGGAUGGGUCCACGUCCUAUUAGCUUGUUGGUGGGGUAACGGCCUACCAAGGCUACGAUGGGUACCGGGCGUGAGAGCGUGGCCCGGCUCACUGGGACUGAGACACUGCCCAGACACCUACGGGUGGCUGCAGUCGAGAAUCUUCGGCAAUGGGCGCAAGCCUGACCGAGCGACGCCGCGUGCGGGAUGAAGGCCUUCGGGUUGUAAACCGCUGUCAGAGGGGAGGAAAUCCAUGGGGGCUAUCCCCCAUGGUUGACCUAUCCUCAGAGGAAGCACGGGCUAAGUUCGUGCCAGCAGCCGCGGUAAGACGAACCGUGCUAACGUUGUUCGGAAUCACUGGGCUUAAAGGGUGCGUAGGCGGUCGCAUAAGUCGGGUGUGAAAUUCCUCGGCUCAACCGAGGAACUGCGCCCGAUACUGUGUGGCUCGAGGGAGGUAGGGGCGCGUGGAACUUCCGGUGGAGCGGUGAUAUGCGUUGAUAUCGGAAGGAACGCCGGUGGCGAAAGCGGCUCACUGGGUCUCUUCUGACGCUGAGGCACGAAAGCUAGGGGAGCGAACGGGAUUAGAUACCCCGGUAGUCCUAGCUGUAAACGAUGAGCACUAGAUCGUAGAGAUUUCCAUGUCUUUACGGUCGAACUGAAAAGGUUAAGUGCUCCGCCUGGGGAGUAUGGCCGCAAGGCUGAAACUCAAAGGAAUUGACGGGGGCUCACACAAGCGGUGGAGGAUGUGGCUUAAUUCGAGGCUACGCGAAGAACCUUAUCCUGGUCUUGACAUGUACGGAUUAACUCUGUGAAAGCAGAGCCACGCCCUAGGGGUGGAACGUGCACAGGUGCUGCAUGGCUGUCGUCAGCUCGUGUUGUGAGAUGUUGGGUUAAGUCCCUUAACGAGCGAAACCCUUGUCCUUAGUUGCCAGCGAGUAAUGUCGGGGACUCUAGGGAGACUGCCGGUGUUAAACCGGAGGAAGGCGGGGAUGACGUCAAGUCCUCAUGGCCUUUAUGCCCAGGGCUGCACACGUGCUACAAUGGAUCGGACAAAGGGUCGCGAACCCGCGAGGGUAAGCUAAUCCCACAAACCGGUCCUCAGUUCGGAUUGUAGGCUGCAACUCGCCUACAUAAGUUGGAAUCGCUAGUAAUCGUGGGUCAGCAAUACCACGGUGAAUUUGUACCUGAGCCUUGUACACACCGCCCGUCAAGCCACAAAAGCGGGGAGCGUCCGAAGUCGCCGAGCUAACCUUCGGGGGGCAGGCGCCGAAGACGAGACCCGUGAUUGGGACUAAGUCGUAACAAGGUAACCGUA
rnacentral:rRNA from 1 species